GCGAGAUGUCGCUGGCGUCGAUACGUUCACAAACUUCUUUGUAAUGUGCUCGAUUGGAGACGCCGGGUUGUUUUUUUUUAGAAUAGCGAAAUUGUAUACCUUUUCGCUCGAGCCCUAGUGAACUACAAUUCUGGUUGUACCGGUCGCUUUUAAUCAGGCGAACUCGAUUGGUCAUUUAUCGCAGGGAAGGGAUGCCAGCCCAGUUGGCGAGCUUGCCUCUCUUCCCGAGGGACGUUCUAAAUGGAACCGUAUUGUGAAAGUGGUGCCGUAAGGGAAGUGUAUGCAUUCCAGAUAUGAUACGUUAGGAAGAUCGACGCAAAGUCCCUACGGUAGCUUGCACUACCCGAACUUUUCCUGGCUUCGUCGAUGUGAAGGAUGCAGCAACCUCACCUUGAAAAUGCGAGCACGACGGCGAAUGCCCCUGUCUCCAGCAAGGUGUUGGACGAGCAGAGCAUGAGCAUAUACGAAGAACUUGUGGACGACGUCAUACUGGGAACCUGCUUCGAGGUUCACCGGUCUGUCAAAUUGGGCAUCUUGUUUCUGGACGAAGCCACGGAUGACGAAAAAAAAUAUGAAAUAGUGGACGAAGUAGGCUUGGAUGUAUUUGGUCAAGUUCCUCUGAAGAAACAGUUCGAAUGCGUGUGUCCCAACUGUCAAAGAAAUUUAGCUGCGUCGCGAUUUGCGCCUCAUCUAGAGAAAUGCAUGGGUAUGGGAAGAAACAGCUCAAGGAUCGCAAGCAAGAGGAUUGCAAACACCGGAAGGGCAGAAAGUGACGUAGAUGACUAUGAUAAUGACAGUGACUGGAACUACCUGUCUGAUCGAAAGCCGGCCAAGAAAAGGAAGGAUAAAAACUGUGCACGUAGAAUUAAAGGGAAGCCUAAAAAUGGAGAACAAGCAAGCACUAGCAGUGCAUCAGGAGAACCCUCAAACAGCAUCUCAACUUAUGAAAGCCUUUCUAUGGAGGAAAGAAAGGCUUUGUUGGCACAGAUGUGUGGAGUGAUCUCUGAGCACACUAAAAAAAUGUGCACCCGCUCUCAGCGUUGCCCCCAGCACACGGACGAGCAACGCAAAGCAGUCAGGCAGUUCCUUUUGAAUCAAGGCGCUGGAAGCAGCACACUAUCUGCAGACACUGGUGAUGAGGUGCACAUUGACGUUGACACUUUUGACGAGGCCGACAACCACGCACUGCACGACACAAUUGGGCAGAUGUGGGAAAGUGUCAGUUCUACCAAUUCCUCCCCUGCUGAUGGUAGCUUCCAAAGCAACAAUGGAGCAGUGGGAAAAAAGAAGGACAAACGUCUACAGCCUUUUGGCAGCUCAGCGAAGAAACCCAACAAGUCUCGGCCUAGCAGCAGUGGCCCUUCGAGCGUGGCUGCCGACCCAAUUGAGCUCCGACCUGCUUUGACUGGGAGGGGUGUGCGUGCCCCAGUGCCAAACAUCUCGCCCAUGUGGUUCCUCUCUUCCUAGCGUGCUGCUGUGAAGGACGUUUCCCACCUUGCUUGUUGCUGCUAUGUGUUAUUUUCCUCAAGGGAUGUGGGACUCUCCAUUGGCUGCCUCCCCGUUUAGUCAACCACACGAACCAGUCGCAUCAGCAGAGAAAGGAAAGCAGCACCCUCCUGAUGCUGGCCUGCAAAGUUCUCCGGGCAGUGUUUGUCCUGUCGGCAGGCAGAGGCUGAUGGCCUUGUAGCACCGACACAAUUCUAGUAUGUGUAUUUAUGGCUGUGGUGGUUCCAUGUCACCCUGUGCAAAACUCUCCCCGCAUUAGUGUGAAUUGUCUUACAUGGUGUGUGCACAUCUAGCUAUUCCCUCUCGCUGAGGUAUGAAAUGCUGGGCAUUGUCAUGGGUACAAAAACAUCUACAACUUUGGCGGGUUGCUUGUGAAUGGAUCAAAAAGCUUGAUUUGUGUUGAGCGUAACAGCAAAAAGCACAUUACAUGUUGGUAAGGAAUUUUUUCC
rnacentral:misc_RNA from 1 species